ACUCUCUAUCUUAGACCCAAAAACUUAUGUCGCUCCUCCUUCACCCUUCCCUGUCUCUCUCUCUUUGUUCCAGCACCACCAUCAUCCGAUCCAUCAUGGGUUUUUAUGUCAUCAUUCGAUCAGCUUUUGUAUCAAUCAUUUUUGGGGGUUACCAUCCGAUCAGAUUUAAUAUCAUCAAUUUAAUAUCAUAAUCGAAUCAUCAAUUUUAAUGCAACCAUCACCAUCAUCAGCUUUUAUAUCAUCAGCUUUGGGGGGUUUCAUGAAAUUAUGUGUAUCAUCCUUGUUUUUAUAUAAUCAAAAAAUAUUUAUUAUAAUUCUGGGUUAUGGUUAUUGUUCUUAAAAAUAAUUCAUAAUUUAAUGAUAUUAGGUGAAGGGCUCAAAAGAACCAUAAAUCCCUACCAAAUAUUUUGGAUAACAACAUUAUUUGAUAACAACAUUAUUGGUUUAAAGGUGUCAUUUACUUUGUUUAUGAUACAUCGAUUAUGAUUAAAUGUUCAUUCUUUCACUUCUUAUUUCGUCGAUCUUGAUUGUUUUCCAAUUACAAAGGUGUACUUACUAUAAUACUAAUACAAAAGAGCUAAGCUGCCAACGCAGCCACCACACCAGUUUUUUGAGUUAAAUCUCAUUCUGUAUGGGCGUCUUUGAAGUUAGCCCGUCGACGGAUACCUGGAAUUAAUUCAUGAAGAUCUUAUGCAGGGAGGUCCGAUAGAUCAUGCGUCACUUAUACCGCGGUUAGCAAUGGCUGUACCAAAAUCAUUUGCGAAGAGAGAGAAGAAUGAUUUGGGCAAUCGCAAGGAUGUUGCCAAGGUUGAUGUCGAGGAAAUGUCUUCUUUUAUUAGCUCUUUAAAUUAAUGAGAGGUAAACAAAUAGAUGCAUAAUAUAAGAAUUAUGUAAACUGUAUGAUUUGGUAGUGUAUUUGUGUGUGAAUUAUAUGAAUCAAAUAAACUCUCUGAUUGAGUAGUUAUAA